UGGCCGAAAAAUGCCUCGAAAGUCACUGAGAUCGGCGGAAACUGGGUAAGAUUCAAAUGAGUAUAACUUUUUUAAUACUCAACGAAAUUGAGUGAAACAAAAAGGAAAGUUGUACUAAUCGACGAGACGAAGAGAUUGAUACCUUGUACGCCGGCCAAAUCGCCGUGGUUUGGCCGGAAAUUUCCUCGAAAGCCACUGAGGUCGCUGGAAAUUGGGUAAGAUUCAAAUGAGUAUAACUUUUUCAAUACGCAACGACAUUGAGUGAAACAAAAAGGAAAGUUGUAGCCCUCGAAGAGACGAAGAGAAUGGUACCUUACACGACGUCUGACUCGUUUUGUUUUGGUCGGAAAUUGCCUCGAAAGCCACUGAGGUCGCCGGAAUCUGGGUAAGAUUCAAAUGAGUAUAACUUUUUCAAUACUCAACGAAAUUGAGUGAAACAAAAAGGAAAGUUGU
rnacentral:lncRNA from 1 species